UGGCGGCUCGACCCAAAUAAGACCUAAAGUGCUUGGCUGGAAACUUUCAGUAACAACCGAGGGGAAAGAGGAGGACGCCUUCGUAGAUGGAGUCUUAAAAUGUUCGACCGCCUCUCUGAAACUGUAUUUCGGAAACAGGAGGCUUCUGUGGCAAACAAGGACUGCCAUAAGAUCGUAGACCUGUGGUCGGUGAUCGAGCGUUCGAUAAAAAGAACACACGACGGUAUUCGUUCGAAUCCCUCAAUGGCAUCGCCCUAUCAUCGCUGCUUUAGCAGAGAAAUCCCGAGAGAAGUUCUAAGUCAUAAAAACAAGCAUAAUUGAACGACCAAACUGGGGGAUUGGGAGCAAUUCAAGCACCGCAAAUGAGGAAGCAUAUAGCGCGGACAUGACUGUAAUCAUGAACUAAACAGGCCAGGUGAGUUACUUGAAAUUAUGUCAUGACCGGGCUAUUAUUUGCUUUAGAGCCUUGGUUUAUUAUCUUCAUUAAGUCAGUUGUUUCAGUUAUUGCUAGUCAUAUAAGUAACUUUAGCAAUGAUGACGUUAGGAGGACAACUAGGAAGACAAGAGCUCAAAAACCAGCCAACCUAUACUACUCACCAGCGUAUGGUAUCAUAUUCUGGUAUCAUAUUCUAGACUAUAUGAUAAAGGAUUCUGGUAUGACUAUAUGACUGAUUUUUUAACAAAAGGGGCUUUAGCAAAAUACUCACCAUCAACUUUUCGGUUAAGCUAAACCGGUCUGCAAUGAGCACUGUAAUGGCUUUUUUGGAAUAAACUUGAAAAUCGAUUAUUGUACAAGAUAAUACAAUAGUUUAGCAGUUUUGAUGACGCUGUUUAUAUUUUUGUCUUGCAUUCUUUUGUAGGACUGGGGUUGUUUGUGACUGAGUCGAGCUCUUGGAGCGUUUUUUUAAUUUUGUUUAGAAGCCAAGCCAGAAUCUCGUGUACUCUUGGAAGUAGGGUGAGCCCCUAUUGGGAAGAUAGUAAGUGUGCAAUGAGUAUAGGGGCUCAUUUUUAUCACGAGAAAGGAAACUGGGAUUGAUUUGUGUUGCAUCAGUUACGAAGGGUGACAACAGUUGUUGUAAGCCUUACUAACAGAAGGGGGGAUGUCCUGGACAUCGCCUAAGAAGUCAGCUGCUGAACGUAUUGUGGAAUCCGAGAGAUGGGACACUGGCUCAUUUGCAAACCUCAACAGGGGGAAGCUUGUAACUGAUGUGUGUACAUAAAUAGUGUUUAGAAGAGACAUUUUUGAGCAACUCUUAGCAUCAAUAACAUCAAGCUGACUUGAUGAAUCAAUUUUGUCAGAGCUCUUGAAGAUGUGAUCAGCUGUUGUAAGCUGGCUUCUUGAGAAGUAUUAUUACACAAUGCCUUGAUAUAGGUAAUCAAUACUCGCAGACUUUGAUUUAAUAAUACCCCACGUCACAUAUAUCUAAUAAGCCAUGUUACACAAACUCAUAAACCCUAAAACAAAAAUAUUUAAGAACAGUUAGGCUAUGAUUUUGAGUCUUGGCCAACCGAAUUUCUAGUUCACAUGCCAUUAGGCAGUCCUUUUAGUUGUGUAGCUCUUACAUGGAGCUUUACAAAGGCAUUUCUUUUUUAUCAUUAUUAUUGUUAUAUCUAAAAUGACAAAGUCUGUACUUUACUGUACUGUACCUUGCUCAGUGCGGAUAUUUUCACAUGAGACCAGGCUAAUACAAUAGCUUCUAUUCUGUA